rnacentral:rRNA from 1 species
GUUGACCCUGCGGGAGAUUGCUGCUAUCGGGAUUCGAUUAAGCCAUGCAAGUUCAGGCUCCGCAAGGAACCGGCAGAAUGCUCAGUAACACGUCGAUAACCUGCCCUUAGAUCAGGGAUAACCUUGGGAAACUGAGGAUAAUACCUGAUAGGGGAUAUUGUCUGGAAUGACAUUUCCCUUAAAGAUUACGUCUAAGGAUGGGUCGGCGGCCGAUUAGGCUGUUGGUGGGGUAAAGGCCCACCAAACCAAAGAUCGGUACGGGCCAUGAGAGUGGUAGCCCGGAGAGGGACCCUGAGAUACUGGUCCCAGCCCCACGGGGUGCAGCAGGCGCGAAACCUUUACAAUGCACGAAAGUGUGAUAAGGGAAUCCCGAGUGCUCAUGCAUUGCAUGGGCUUUUGCCAAGAGUGAAUAUCUUGGCGAAUAAGUGGUGGGCAAGACUGGUGCCAGCCGCCGCGGUAACACCAGCGCCACAAGUGGGAAUCAUUUUUAUUGGGCCUAAAGCGUCCGUAGCCGGUCGGGUAAAUCUCUUGUGAAAUCGUUGCGCUUAACGUAACGGCGUGCAGGAGACACUGCUUGACUUGGGACCGGGAGGGGUCAGAGGUAUUCCAGGGGGAGCGGUAAAAUGCUAUAAUCCUUGGAGGACCACCGGUGGCGAAGGCGUCUGACCAGAACGGAUCCGACGGUGAGGGACGAAAGCCAGGGGAGCAAUCCGGAUUAUAUACCCGAGUAGUCCUGGCUGUAAACGCUGCGAGCUAGGUGUUGCGCAUUCCACGUGAAUGUGCAGUGUCGAAGCGAAGGUGUUAAGCUCGCCGCCUGGGAAGUACGGUCGCAAGACUGAAACUUAAAGGAAUUGGCGGGGGAGCACCACAAGGGGUGCGGCGUGCGGUUUAAUCUAACUCAACGCAGAGAAUCUCACCAGAAGCGACGGCAGGAUGAAAGACAGUCUGAAGGGCUUUCUUGACGAGCCGAGAGGUAGUGCAUGGCCGUCGUCAGCUCGUGCCGUGAGGUGUCCUCUUAAGUGAGGCAACGAGCGAGACCUGUACCUACGAUUGCCAGCGAAUCCAUCGGAUGAUCGGGCACAUUGUAGGAACUGCCCUGGAAACAGGGAGGAAGGUGCAGGCAACGGUAGGUCUGUAUGCUCCGAAUCUUCUGGGCUACACGCGCGCAACAAUGGUAGGGACAAUGGGAUACAACUCCGAAAGGAGAAGUUAAACCUCAAAACCCUAUCUUAGUUCAGAUUGAGGCUUGUAACUCAGCCUCAUGACGACGGAAUCCCUAGUAAUCAGACGUUAGCAUCGUCCGGUGAAUAUGUCCCUGCUCCUUGCACACACCGCCCGUCAAACCAACCGAGCAGGGUUUAGAUGAGUGUUAGCUUCUUGGCUAACCCGAAUCUAAGCUCAGUAAGGUGGGUUAAGUCGUCACAAGGUA